GAUGAACGCUGGCGGCGUGCCUAAUACAUGCAAGUCGAACGCGCAGCGAAAGGUGCUUGCACCUUUCAAGCGAGUGGCGAACGGGUGAGUAACACGUGGAUAACCUGCCUCAAGGCUGGGGAUAACAUUUGGAAACAGAUGCUAAUACCGAAUAAAACUUAGUAUCGCAUGAUACAAAGUUGAAAGGCGCUACGGCGUCACCUAGAGAUGGGUCCGCGGUGCAUUAGUUAGUUGGUGGGGUAAAGGCCUACCAAGACAAUGAUGGAUAGCCGAGUUGAGAGACGGAUCGGCCACAUUGGGACUGAGACACGGCCCAAACUCCUACGGGAGGCUGCAGUAGGGAAUCUUCCACAAUGGGCGAAGGCCUGAUGGAGCGACGCCGCGUGUGUGAUGAAGGCUUUAGGGUCGUAAAGCACUGUUGUAUGGGAAGAAAUGCUAGAAUAGGGAAUGAUUCUAGUUCGACGGUACCAUACCAGAAAGGGACGGCUAAAUACGUGCCAGCAGCCGCCGUAA
rnacentral:rRNA from 1 species